rnacentral:ncRNA from 1 species
AGAAAUGUAAUGACUGGGAUAAGUAAGUGUAAAUCUGCCAUCCAGAGAAGUAUCGCCACUGGCUGAGAGUGAUACUAGGUAAGAUACGCCCAAAUGCACCCAAGAACAGGUUGGUCGAAGUUAUAGUAGGCCCGCUCGGUAGCAGCCGUUAUUGUGCGAUUAAGGGGCAUUUUAUGCCUAAGCAGAGUGGAACCACGGACCACUGUCUCUGUA